rnacentral:sRNA from 1 species
GGGACACGCUCAGGCGACACUCCUGUCCCGUGCUCCCGCCCUCUUGCCUUUCAUUCCAGCCGACAAGACCUUGGAAGCUUUGAAGCCCAGCAAAGAAGGGAAAUCCACUGAGAAGAGUCUGGAAAGUGUUUGUCAUACCAACAGAGAAACCAAGCUUGGGCAAGGUGUCAAGUAUCUUGGUGAAGGAUAAGGGGCAGAGAUACACAAAGCAGGCACAUGAGAGGAUGUUUUGCUUCAAACAGACUUGUUGGGUUUUUCUGGAAGUUGCCUGGUGUGAUGUUUUGCUGGAGCAGAGAGACUUACAAUGUUUAAAAAGGUAUAACGCAGCAGACAGUGGUCUAUGCUUUUGCAUUGGUUUGCCUUGCAACUCUUUGGUGGCCUUCGUUUUGCUUUGCUGAGGCUGAUCUUUGCUGACAACACUCUUGCAUUAUUUCACCUUGCCUUCUUAGCUGAUCUUUGCUUGUCCUGACUUUGUAGAGAGAAAUUCACCAACUUUUGGUGGCAUUCUGGCUGCUUCUUGCUGCUUCUUGCUGCUUCUGUGGACUCAUGCCCAUAAGCAGCGACUAGCAGAUUCUUCUGGAUCAAACCAUUACUACUGAUUUGUGUUUUCUUAUUGCUGAUUGGCAGGAAUGGACCGGGCUGCCACUGCUGAUUUGUGUUUGGUGUUUUGGUAAUAGACUGGACUGCUGACAAGGAAGAUUCAAUUCCCACGAUCUGCAAUAGAAAACAAAACGGAAGAAAGAAGAAAAGAAAAGCUAGGGGGGAGGCAAUGUGACUAAAUACCAGCACAUGGAGGUGGAGGCAAGAAGAAUCCUUGCUCACAAUUCUGGGAACCCAAGGUCUCAGGGAGACACCUUGUUCCACAAAACAACAUGUGUGGAUGGCUCCUAAGGGAAAUAAUAACACCCAGAUCUGACCUGAGACUUUCACCUGUACACACAUAAGCAGAUACCCCUCCUAAGAAGACCUCCUGGGAUUUGUCAGCUAUUUUUUGUAUUAUCUUUUCAUUUUGUCACUCAUGCUUAAAUAACUUACCCAGUAGUGAGUGUUGCCAUUUUAUUUCUGUGAAUACUUUUAUCUAUCCCAGGACUUAGCAAACUUUCUUUGACAAAGACCAGAAAAUAACUACUAAAUGUUCUGUGGUCCUAAGGAGUCUUUUACAUUUGCUUAAUUCCGACUUGCUAAGUGAAAGUAACUUUUGAUAAUAGGCAAAAAAUACUUCUCUCCCCAUGACACUUUAUUUCUGAGGGUUCAGAUUUGAAUUUUUUGUAACUUUCGUGUCUUAUAAACUAAUAUUCCUCUUUAAAAGUUUUCAAGAACCUUCAAAAGUGUAAUGACGAGUUUUAGAUUGUGGCUGCCAGGAGGCAGCUGUCUAGAUGUAGCCUAUGUGCCAUUGUGUGCCUACUGUUGCUAUACAGAAUAAGCAGGAUACAGCUGUAGGAUCUUUUUAGGUUUUAUGCUGAGGUCUCUCAGUUUCCAUCUGAGGUAUCUAGGGCAAACAAACACCGUUGACUAAAGCUUUGUUAUCUUUGUAGUAAAAUGUAAAUGAUACAAAAAAUAGAGUUGGUUUGUGAGCUAAAGCUUAUUUGAGCCAUAAAAAAUCCACAGGUUAACUAUUUCAUUUCCUCCUCUGGUCCUUUCUACCACUUGGGAUUUUAUUUAUUUCAAUUUCUAUAUAUGCAGGGUUAGGGCAGUAUCAGUUUUACUUUCUUAUGAAUUCGAUUUUUAUAGAAAGCAUUCAACUUCUUAAUUUAUAUUAAAUCUAAUAUAUACAAUGCUUAAUAGGAACAGAAACAAAAUAUAUUGAGAAGGUGUCAUAAAAAACUCAGAGUUUCAAAGACUAUACAUGGACUGACCCUGGGCUCCAACUGCAUAUGUAGCAUUGAAUAUCCUAGUAAG